rnacentral:rRNA from 1 species
GACGAACGCUGGCGGCGUGCUUAACACAUGCAAGUCGAACGGAAAGGCCUGCUUUCCCUUGUGGAUUGCGGGUACUCGAGUGGCGAACGGGUGAGUAACACGUGAGUGAUCUGCCCCCAACUUGGGUAUAAGCCUGGGAAACUGGGUCUAAUUCCCGAUAGGACUGCAGGGUGGUGCCUGUGGUGGAAAACGAUUUUCUAGUGGUUGGGGAUGAGCUGGCGGCGUAUCAGCUUGUUGGUGGGGUAAUGGCCUACCAAGGCGGCGACGGGUAGCCGGCCUGAGAGGGUGGACGGGCACAUUGGGACUGGGAUACGGCGCAGACUCCAACGGGAGGAAGCAGUGGGGAAUAUUGAACAAUGGGCGGAAGCCUGAUGCAGCGACGCCGCGUGGGGGAUGACGGGCUUCGGGUUGUAAACUCCUUUCGACCGAGAGGAAGCCACCUGGUUGGAAGGGUGGUGACGGUAGUGGUAGAAGAAGCACCGGCUAACUACGUG